AUGUGGACAUUUGAACAUCAGAAAAGAGGCUACAUGGCUAUCACAUCGCAUUUCGUUGAUGAAUCCUGGAAGCUUCGGAGCUAUAUUAUGAGAUUUAUUUAUGUUCCAGCACCACAUACAACUCGUGUAAUUGCUGAGAUACUUCAUGAUGCACUGGUCGAAUGGUAUCUAGAAGAUAAGGUAUCUACAUUGACUGUUGAUAAUGCCACAACAAAUGAUGCUUGCAUUCCCAUAUUAGAGAAUCUGAUAGGUCCAAGUAAGCUUAUGUUAGGUGGCAAGCUUUUACAUAUGCGUUGUUAUGCGCAUAUUCUUAACCUGAUAGUCAAGGAUGGUUUGGAUGUGUUAGAAGAAUCGAUUGAGAAAAUCCAUGAUAGUGUUGCAUUCUGGACUAGCACACCUAAGAGAAUAGAGAAUUUUCAAGAGGUUGCCAAGAUGUUGAAAGUAGACCAAAGUAAAAAAUUAUCCCUUGAUGUGAAAACACGAUGGAACUCUACGUACUUUAUGCUUAGUGUUGCUUUACGCUACAAGAGUGUAUUUAAUCGCUUGAGGCAGCGGGAAAAGACCUUUACUUGUGCUCCUAGUGAUGAUGAUUGGAAAUUUUGUGGAGAAGUCUGUGAUAGGCUUAAGUUGUUUGCUGACAUUACUGAAAUAUUUUAUGGGACUCAGUAUGUGACUGCUAAUAUUUACUUCCCUAAGAUCUAUGAAAUUAAAAUGAAUAUAAGGAAGUGGUCGAAGUGUGGGAAUGAAAUUAUUGAAGCUAUGUCAGAUGCUAUGAGUGCAAAAUUUUACAAGUACUGUUCCGAUAUCCAAGGCUUCAUGGGUAUUGCUACACUCCUUGAUCCACGGUUUAAGAUUGAUAUGCUGCAUGUGUGCUUUGAAAUGCUCCUUGGUGAUGAGUCCAUUGUUGAUUGUGAGAGUAAAGUUCAUGAGAUCCGUGAGUUAGUGUCUAGCCUGAUGCUUGAAUAUCAAAUGGAGAAUGAGCAAGAGAAUACAGAAGCCCAGUCUGUCUCCAUUUCUGCAAUGGAAGCUAACAAGGUGAUGUCCAUCUUCAGUGCACGAGUAGCUAGAAAGAUGCCCGUAACCAGUUUAUCCAGAAUAGAGUUAGAACACUACUUGGAUGAUGAGUAUGUGCCAGCUAAUCAAGAGAAUUUUGAUGUGUUGGGAUGGUGGAAUGUUGCUGGUUCACGCUACCCAACUUUGAGGGCUAUUGCGCUUGAUAUAUUUGCCAUCCCAGUAACUACAAUAGCUUCCGAGUCAGCUUUUAGUAGAAGUGGAAGAGUACUUAGUGAGCACCGCAGUCGUCUGACCCCUGAUUUGCUAGAGGCUUUAAUGUGUUCACAAAACUGGGAGAGAAACAAAGCUAAAGGUCUGCACAUUUCUCUAUCAUUUGAUCCUUUAACC
rnacentral:rRNA from 1 species